UUUAAUGAGAGUUUGAUCCUGGCUCAGGACGAACGCUGGCGGCGUGCCUAAUACAUGCAAGUAGAACGCUGAAGGAAGAGCUUGC
rnacentral:rRNA from 1 species